rnacentral:rRNA from 1 species
GAUGAACGCUGGCGGCGUGCCUAAUACAUGCAAGUCGAGCGAACAGACGAGGAGCUUGCUCCUCUGACGUUAGCGGCGGACGGGUGAGUAACACGUGGAUAACCUACCUAUAAGACUGGGAUAACUUUGGGAAACCGGAGCUAAUACCGGAUAAUAUAUUGAACCGCAUGGUUCAAUAGUGAAAGACGGUUUUGCUGUCACUUAUAGAUGGAUCCGCGCCGCAUUAGCUAGUCGGUAAGGUAACGGCUUACCAAGGCAACGAUGCGUAGCCGACCUGAGAGGGUGAUCGGCCACACUGGAACUGAGACACGGUCCAGACUCCUACGGGAGGCAGCAGUAGGGAAUCUUCCGCAAUGGGCGAAAGCCUGACGGGGCAACGCCGCGUGAGUGAUGAAGGUCUUCGGAUCGUAAAACUCUGUUAUUAGGGAAGAACAAAUGUGUAAGUAACUAUGCACGUCUUGACGGUACCUAAUCAGAAAGCCACGGCUAACUACGUG